UACAGAGGUCCCAAGCGUUGUUCGGAAUCACUGGGCGUAAAGGGUGCGUAGGCUGCGCCGCAAGUCAGAUGUGAAAGCCCCGGGCUCAACCCGGGAAUUGCAUCCGAUACUGCGGUGCUCGAGAACUGAAGGGGAGUCUAGAAUUUUCGGUGUAGCAGUGAAAUGCGUAGAUAUCGAAAGGAAUACCAAAGGCGAAGGCAGGACUCUGGGCAGUUUCUGACGCUGAUGCACGAAGGCCAGGGUAGCGAACGGG
rnacentral:rRNA from 1 species